rnacentral:rRNA from 1 species
CCUACGGGAGGCAGCAGUGAGGAAUAUUGGUCAAUGGACGAGAGUCUGAACCAGCCAAGUCGCGUGAAGGAUGACUGCCCUAUGGAUUGUAAACUUCUUUUAUAUGGGAGUAAAAUGAUCCACGUGUGGGAUUUUGUAUGUACCAUAUGAAAAAGGAUCGGCUAACUCCGUGCCAGCAGCCGCGGUAAUACGGAGGAUCCGAGCGUUAUCCGGAUUUAUUGGGUUUAAAGGGUGCGGAGGUGGAUUUUGAAGUCAGUUGUGAAAGUUUGCGGGUCAACCGUAAAAUUGCAGUUGAAACUGGCAGUCUUGAGUACACGAGAGGUGGGCGGAAUUCGUGGUGUAGCGGUGAAAUGCUUAGAUAUCACGAAGAACUCCGAUUGCGAAGGCAGUUCACUGGACUGCAACUGACACUGAGGCACGAAAGUGUGGGUAUCAAACAGGAUUAGAUACCCGUGUAGUC